rnacentral:sRNA from 18 species
UGAGAUCGGCGCGUGCUUGCCAAUUCCUAUCAGAACAAGGUUAUGAGGUUAUCAAUGUACAGGGUGGCAUGUUAGCCUUUGAAGAACUUUAGACAUUAGAAUUUUCUCCUACUUGGCGUGGACUGGGUAGGGGAUUUUAU